UAGCGGCGGACGGGUGAGUAACACGUGGGCAACCUGCCUAUAAGACUGGGAUAACUUCGGGAAACCGGAGCUAAUACCGGAUACGUUCUUUUCUCGCAUGAGAGAAGAUGGAAAGACGGUUUCGGCUGUCACUUAUAGAUGGGCCCGCGGCGCAUUAGCUAGUUGGUGAGGUAAUGGCUCACCAAGGCGACGAUGCGUAGCCGACCUGAGAGGGUGAUCGGCCACACUGGGACUGAGACACGGCCAAGACUCCUACGGGAGGCAGCAGUAGGGAAUCUUCCGCAAUGGACGAAAGUCUGACGGAGCAACGCCGCGUGAACGAAGAAGGCCUUCGGGUCGUAAAGUUCUGUUGUUAGGGAAGAACAAGUACCAGAGUAACUGCUGGUACCUUGACGGUACCUAACCAGAAAGCCACGGCUAACUACGUGCCAGCAGCCGCGGUAAUACGUAGGUGGCAAGCGUUGUCCGGAAUUAUUGGGCGUAAAGCGCGCGCAGGUGGUUCCUUAAUUCUGAUGUGAAAGCCCACGGCUCAACCGUGGAGGGUCAUUGGAAACUGGGGAACUUGAGUGCAGAAGAGGAAAGUGGAAUUCCAAGUGUAGCGGUGAAAUGCGUAGAGAUUUGGAGGAACACCAGUGGCGAAGGCGACUUUCUGGUCUGUAACUGACACUGAGGCGCGAAAGCGUGGGGAGCAAACAGGAUUAGAUACCCUGGUAGUCCACGCCGUAAACGAUGAGUGCUAAGUGUUAGAGGGUUUCCGCCCUUUAGUGCUGCAGCUAACGCAUUAAGCACUCCGCCUGGGGAGUACGGCCGCAAGGCUGAAACUCAAAGGAAUUGACGGGGGCCCGCACAAGCGGUGGAGCAUGUGGUUU
rnacentral:rRNA from 1 species